rnacentral:rRNA from 1 species
GACGAACGCUGGCGGCGUGCCUAAUACAUGCAAGUAGAACGCUGAAGGAGGAGCUUGCUUCUCUGGAUGAGUUGCGAACGGGUGAGUAACGCGUAGGUAACCUGCCUGGUAGCGGGGGAUAACUAUUGGAAACGAUAGCUAAUACCGCAUAAUAGUAGAUGUUGCAUGACAUUUGCUUAAAAGGUGCAAUUGCAUCACUACCAGAUGGACCUGCGUUGUAUUAGCUAGUUGGUGAGGUAACGGCUCACCAAGGCAACGAUACAUAGCCGACCUGAGAGGGUGAUCGGCCAAACUGGGACUGAGACACGGCCCAGACUCCUACGGGAGGCAGCAGUAGGGAAUCUUCGGCAAUGGACGGAAGUCUGACCGAGCAACGCCGCGUGAGUGAAGAAGGGUUUCGGAUCGUAAAGCUCUGUUGUAAGAGAAGAACGAGUGUGAGAGUGGAAAGUUCACACUGUGACGGUAUCUUACCAGAAAGGGACGGCUAACUACGUG